ACGUUGUCGGAUAUUGGGCGUAAGGGCUCGCAGGCGGUUUCUUAAGUCUGAUGUGAAAGCCCCCGGCUCAACCGGGGAGGGUCAUUGGAAACUGGGGAACUUGAGUGCAGAAGAGGAGAGUGGAAUUCCACGUGUAGCGGUGAAAUGCGUAGAGAUGUGGAGGAACACCAGUGGCGAAGGCGACUCUCUGGUCUGUAACUGACGCUGAGGAGCGAAAGCGUGGGGAGCGAACAGGAUUAGAUACCCUGGUAGUCCACGCCGUAAACGAUGAGUGCUAAGUGUUAGGGGGUUUCCGCCCCUUAGUGCUGCAGCUAACGCAUUAAGCACUCCGCCUGGGGAGUACGGUCGCAAGACUGAAACUCAAAGGAAUUGACGGGGGCCCGCACAAGCGGUGGAGCAUGUGGUUUAAUUCGAAGCAACGCGAAGAACCUUACCAGGUCUUGACAUCCUCUGACAAUCCUAGAGAUAGGACGUCCCCUUCGGGGGCAGAGUGACAGGUGGUGCAUGGUUGUCGUCAGCUCGUGUCGUGAGAUGUUGGGUUAAGUCCCGCAACGAGCGCAACCCUUGAUCUUAGUUGCCAGCAUUCAGUUGGGCACUCUAAGGUGACUGCCGGUGACAAACCGGAGGAAGGUGGGGAUGACGUCAAAUCAUCAUGCCCCUUAUGACCUGGGCUACACACGUGCUACAAUGGACAGAACAAAGGGCAGCGAAACCGCGAGGUUAAGCCAAUCCCACAAAUCUGUUCUCAGUUCGGAUCGCAGUCUGCAACUCGACUGCGUGAAGCUGGAAUCGCUAGUAAUCGCGGAUCAGCAUGCCGCGGUGGAAUACGUUCCNCGGGCCUUGUACACACCGCCCGUCACACCACGAGAGUUUGUAACACCCGAAGUCGGUGAGGUAACCUUUUUAGGAGCCAGCCGCCGAAGGUGGGACAGAUGAUUGGGGGUGAAGUCGUACAGGGGGAAACCGUAAAA
rnacentral:rRNA from 1 species